UACGUAGGUGGCAAGCGUUAUCGGGAUUUAUUGGGCGUAAAGGGAACGCAGGCGGUCUUUUAAGUCUGAUGUGAAAGCCUUCGGCUUAACCGGAGUAGUGCAUUGGAAACUGGGAGACUUGAGUGCAGAAGAGGAGAGUGGAACUCCAUGUGUAGUGGUGAAAUGCGUAGAUAUAUGGAAGAACACCAGUGGCGAAAGCGGCUCUCUGGUCUGUAACUGACGCUGAGGUUCGAAAGCGUGGGUAGCAAACAGG
rnacentral:rRNA from 1 species